GCUAUACAUGCAAGUCGAACGCGUUGGCCCAAUUGAUUGAUGGUGCUUGCACCUGAUUGAUUUUGGUCGCCAACGAGUGGCGGACGGGUGAGUAACACGUAGGUAACCUGCCCAGAAGCGGGGGACAACAUUUGGAAACAGAUGCUAAUACCGCAUAACAGCGUUGUUCGCAUGAACAACGCUUAAAAGAUGGCUUCUCGCUAUCACUUCUGGAUGGACCUGCGGUGCAUUAGCUUGUUGGUGGGGUAACGGCCUACCAAGGCGAUGAUGCAUAGCCGAGUUGAGAGACUGAUCGGCCACAAUGGGACUGAGACACGGCCCAUACUCCUACGGGAGGCAGCAGUAGGGAAUCUUCCACAAUGGGCGCAAGCCUGAUGGAGCAACACCGCGUGAGUGAAGAAGGGUUUCGGCUCGUAAAGCUCUGUUGUUAAAGAAGAACACGUAUGAGAGUAACUGUUCAUACGUUGACGGUAUUUAACCAGAAAGUCACGGCUAACUACGUGCCAGCAGCCGCGGUAAUACGUAGGUGGCAAGCGUUAUCCGGAUUUAUUGGGCGUAAAGAGAGUGCAGGCGGUUUUCUAAGUCUGAUGUGAAAGCCUUCGGCUUAACCGGAGAAGUGCAUCGGAAACUGGAUAACUUGAGUGCAGAAGAGGGUAGUGGAACUCCAUGUGUAGCGGUGGAAUGCGUAGAUAUUUGGAACAACACCNUUGGCGNANNNGGCUACCNUGG
rnacentral:rRNA from 2 species